GUAGCGUACGACCUCACGUGACCGCGUGUGCUACUUCAGUUUGAAACAAACAGAGCAUUCUAUAAAUUCAGUUCGUAUUACCAGACACCGGUUUGUUACUCUUUACAAUCACAUCCCACGACACACAACCACCAUAAUGAUCCGAAUUCUGGUUUUGCUCACACUUGCCUCCGUUUGUGUGUCUUAUGAUCUAUCUCUGCAUCUUGCCGAGAAGUUAGCAGUUCCGCAUUACAGUCGCCAUGGAUACGAUUAUCCGCAAAUAAAUUUUGGAAGACCACAAGGCAAUGCUGCUCCAGCCGUCAGCCAAUCUUUACCAGCCAGACCAUCAUCUCUUAGUGGGCCAUCCUCUUUCAGUCAACCAUCUUCCGUAAACCGGCCAUCUUCUUUUAGCCAGUCUGGUGACUUCGGUCAACCAUCUUCCGUAAACAGGCCAUCUUCUUUCAGCCAGUCUGGUGACUUUGGUCAACCAUCUACUUUCAGAAGACCCUCAGGUGGUCAAACCAGGUUCUUCAACAUGUACGCCCCCAAUUUGGCAAGUGAGCUGAGGUCACGGUUCAGAAGAUAGUGAUAAGAAGGAAAGGGAAUUCAUUACAUUCAAGAUUCUGAAGCUUUGCUGAAUAAAUUGAAAUACUGUAACCCAUUAUAUUGUAUAUAAAUCAGUAUUUUUAUUACUAAAUUUAUUUAUUAUGCAAAUUUAUGUAAAAUGUGAUUAAUGAAUUACCUAAUCAGUCAUUCUAAUGACGAAAAAGAUUAAUUAAUAUUGAAUUUUAAUUAAAUGAAAGAUUUCGAAUGAAAUCUAAAAAAAUAUUUUAUUUUCAUGCACCCUUUAAAGGAAAAUUUUUUUCUCACUUUCUGUGUUUAUUAUUUUUAUUUGUUUCAAAGUCUUGGAUCGUUCCAGAUGUAAUUUAUUGUUAUUUAUAAUCUCGUGCAAUUUUUGCAUUGGCAUGUUACAGAUUAAGUCGAAAAACAACGAUUUUAAAUCUCAAAUAAGAGUGCUAAAAUUAGAAGAUAAUCAUUUUAAUGCAGUUACAGGCACCAUCGUUAGUGCUACAAUCAGCGUACUGAAAAAUAAAUUAUUUUAUUUGUGCUUACAAAACUUUGUUUUUCGACUUAAAAUUGCUGCACAAAGAGAAUUUUUCUCUCUGUAUGUUAUACAUUGUUUUUAAUAAAUUUAAAAAUAAUCUGUUUC